rnacentral:rRNA from 1 species
UACGAAGGGGGCUAGCGUUGUUCGGAUUUACUGGGCGUAAAGCGCACGUAGGCGGAUCGUUAAGUCGGGGGUGAAAUCCUGGAGCUCAACUCCAGAACUGCCUUCGAUACUGGCGAUCUUGAGUCCGGAAGAGGUGAGUGGAACUCCUAGUGUAGCGGUGGAAUGCGCAGAUAUCAGGAGGAACACCGGUGGCGAAGGCGGCUCUCUGGACCAUAACUGACGCUGAGACGCGAAAGCUAGGGGAGCAAACAGG